CCUUUACUGACGCUAAAGCUCGAAGGUGCGGGUAUCGAACAGGAUUAGAUACCCUGGUAGUCCGCACGGUAAACGAUGGAUGCCCGCUGUUUGCGAUAUACUGUGAGCGGCCAAGAGAAAUCGUUAAGCAUCCCACCUGGGGAGUACGCCGGCAACGGUGAAACUCAAAGGAAUUGACGGGGGCCCGCACAAGCGGAGGAACAUGUGGUUUAAUUCGAUGAUACGCGAGGAACCUUACCCGGGCUUGAACUGCAGGAGAACGAUACAGAGAUGUUGAGGUCCUUCGGGACUCCUGUGGAGGUGCUGCAUGGUUGUCGUCAGCUCGUGCCGUGAGGUGUCGGCUUAAGUGCCAUAACGAGCGCAACCCUUUUCGUCAGUUGCCAUCAGGUGAAGCUGGGCACUCUGGCGAUACUGCCACCGUAAGGUGUGAGGAAGGUGUGGAUGACGUCAAAUCAGCACGGCCCUUACGUCCGGGGCUACACACGUGUUACAAUGGGGAGUACAGAGAGUCGGCCGCACGCAAGUUCGGUCCAAUCAAGAAAGCUCUCCUCAGUUCGGAUUGGGGUCUGCAACCCGACCCCAUGAAGCUGGAUUCGCUAGU
rnacentral:rRNA from 1 species